ACUCAACUUUUUCACCUGAGUGCAUCUGUUUAUUGAUAUUUCGACACGUGGAUUAGAGGGCUAAGAUGUUCCACGUGGAUUGGAUUAGACCGGCCACUCCAUCUUCUAUAUGUCUCGAGUCUCUUGACAUACCAGUGAAGAUUAAAAAAUAAAGGAAAAAAAAAAUGAGAACCAGAUGUAGAGAUAACUAUCAUGGAGAGGAUUGAUUAGAUGGUUUGUGUUUAAUUCUUGUUGAUUUGUUUAUUUGGUGCGGGAGGAAGGCAAAUUUUUUGCCAUUUAAAUUCGAGGAACUCCGAAGAACAGAUGGAGAAUCAUUUACAGACGAAUCAACAUGAAGAACAGUUGAAACCCAUUUAUGUUUUAGAUUAUUCCGACACUGCAGUUUUUAGUUUGAAUUUGAUGAAUAUGAUUAAUUUUGUUACAGUUGAAGUUAGGGUUUAUUGAUUUGGGAAAAUUCAUAUAUUAGGGUUUUGAUGGAGGAUUGGUUGAAAUCGAAUGAUAUGGUGAAUAUAUAAUUUGAACAAUCAUGUGUUUGAUUCGUGUAAUUUGAUUUUUAACCCAGGUUUCCUAUCAAAACCUAUGAUUCUUAAAUUAGUUCGAGUCUAAGAAACCAAUUAGAACUAGAAAUGAUAUCUGUUGUUGGUGAUGCAACUAACAUUAUCCAUCAUCGAUCUGAUAGCAUUUUUUAUUGAAUAUCCUCAUGAAGAGAAGAUCUUCCGUAUAACCGUAAAAACAGUACAAGAUAUCUUUCUCUACGAUACCACUAGUCCUUUCAUGCUCUGAUAAUUCCUAAAGUACUGGGACAAUUUUUUAAGUGUUUCAACGAAGCACCUGUUUAGUUUAACGGGAGCCGAAGGGGCAACUAAAGCAGUGACAGCUAUGUGUAUAUACCCUAUGGACUUAUACCAAGAGCAAUUGUUGAGUUUUGUGUGUGGAUGUUUUGUUUUUGUUUGUUUUACACAUACGGUGUAUUCGUUUUUAUAUGUUUCUAAUCUUGCUUUGUUUCAGCAAAUAGCACCAACAAAACAAGAUAAAGUUAUUAAGGAAUUCCAGAAUCAGUCUUUGCAGAUGGACAUGACUGUAAGAUCCACACCUUACAUAAAAUAGUAUGCUCUUCUUUUGUGUUCAGAGCCUUUUUUCUGCUUUGUAUGCACUUGCUAAGUGUUCUUCUUUCCGCAUUUAAGAAGGCAUUUUGAUGAUGCGUAUGGUAAUUUAUCACGAUUAAUGGUUGUCGGGCCAGUGCAAUUGGUAUGACCUCUCGGGCUCGGCCCUCAUAAAAAUGCAUAUACAAGGCCGUUGUGGCGUUGCAGGAAAAAUGAAAUAAAAUAAAAAGCUGCAUUUCGUCUAAAGGGAAGAAGAGCGUGAAGUUGACCGGACUAGACCAGAGAGCAGAAUCAAAGGAUUAAGGAUUGGAUGGAUAUUCAGAAACUGCUUAAUUCGAAAUUCCCAUUUCUUUGGGUCCUCCUCCUCAAAAACUUCAUCUUUUCACUCUCUUCUCCGUUUCUCUGCAAUUAUACCGCGAGGUUUGACAAGGUUUUUCUGGAUAAAAACAUUGAUUGAGUGGCUGAUAUUCCUGAUCCUCAGGUAGGCUGAAUACCAAUUUAUUAUCGUUUGUGAGUAACUAGUGCAGUAUCAAAGUGUUCUACUUCAUCUAUAUAAGACUGCGGUUAAGCAUUUUCAAUUUGUGUGGCUGCAUCUUGAUCCAGCUGUUAAGAGGCAUUUGAUGUUGCAACAUAUAUGCAUUUCAUUUUGCUCAGAGGGCUCCUCCGGUGAAAGUUGACAAUAUGAAAGCAAGUGGAGAAAUUUUUUGGACCUGGAAAUCAAUAUGUCACUGCUGGUAAAAUGAUUCUUCAGAACAGUGGAGCGAUGGUUUCCAUAGACAUGCCUGCGAGAUCCAUUUGAAGUUAUGGUUAUUGCUGAUGAACAGCCCAGCUCAUACAGCAGCUGAUUAAUUGUCUCACGUGUUUAUAGAUACGUUUACUUCCAGAAUUCUCAUUUCACUUCGUGUAAAUAAUUAAAUUACUUAGUAUUUUCUUUAAUCUGCACAAA